rnacentral:rRNA from 1 species
UCAUCCAUAUGGGUAUGUUUAACUGGCCCUCAACGCCAUUGUUACUCGGCGCCUUGACUACGCCUAGUAUUGUCAAGGUAACUGCCUACCCCACGCCCACGAUCGGGUAGCCGGCGUGAGAUGGUGAUCUGCCACAUCUGGAUCGAGAGCAGGCACAGUCUCCUACGGGAGCCAGCAGUCUAGAUAUUCCGUCUAUGGGCGCAAGCAUGACCCAGCGACGCUGAUUGGGGGAUGAAGCUUGUCGGAGUGUGCACCCCUUGUCAGGUGGGACGAACGACGUGGCAUGUGUACAAUUGCCAUGGGUGACCGGUACCACCUAGAGGAAGCUCCGGCUAACUCUGUGCCAGCAGCCGCGGUAAUACGGGGGGAGCAAGCGUUGUUCGGAAUUAUUGGGCGUAAAGGGCGUACAGGCGGUGAUGCAAGUCAGGUGUGAAAUGCAUCGGCUCAACCGAUGACUUGCAUUUGAUACUGCUCUGCUUGAGUACAGGAGAGGAGAGCGGAAUUCUCGGUGUAGCGGUGGAAUGUGUAGAUAUCGGGAAGAACACCAGUGGCGAAGGCGGCUCUCUGGCCUGAUACUGACGCUGACGCGCGAAAGCUAGGGGAGCAAACAGGAUUAGAUACCCUGGUAGUCCUAGCCGUAAACGUUGGGCACUAGGUGUUGGAGGUAUCGACCCCUUCAGUGCCGAAGCUAACGCAUUAAGUGCCCCAGCGUUGAUGGAGUACAGACGGCAACGGUUGAUACUCAUAAGCGGAUUGACGGGAGCUAUGCACAAGCGGUGGAGCAUGUGGUCUCUCUCGAUGCGACGCGAAGAUCCUUACCGGGGUAUGCCACUGUACUUGAUAGGCGUAGAGAUACGUUCCCUCUUCGGAGCAGGUACACAGGUGCUCGCUAUGGCUGUCGUCAGCUCCGUGUCUGUGAGAUGUUGGGUUAAGUCCCGCCACUGAGCGCAACCCUCGCUCUUAGUUGCCAUCAGGUUAUGCUGGGCACUCUAGGAGGACUGCCGGGUGUUAAACCGGAGGAAGGUGGGGAUGACGUCAAGUCCUCAUGGCCUUUAUGUCCAGGGCUACACACGUGCUACAAUGGCUGGUAUAAAGGGUUGCAAGACCGCGAGGUGGAGCUAAUCCCAAAAAGCCAGUCUCAGUUGGAAUUGCAGUCUGAAACUCGACUGCAUGAACUUGGAAUCGCUAGUAAUCGCGGAUCAGCAUGCCGCGGUGAAUAUGUUCCCAGGCCUUGUACACACCGCCCGUCAAGUGAUGGAAGCCGGGAGUGCCCGAAGUCGUUACUCCAACCCGCAAGGGGGGGGUGCGCCGAAGG